rfam:Altererythrobacter xiamenensis strain CGMCC 1.12494 genome assembly, contig: Ga0171583_11
CGGGGGUUACCGGGCCCCUCUGGCGAUAGCUCUUCGUGCAAUCGCGAUGUCGGAACAAAUGG